GUGAGAGAGGUGCCAAAACUGGCCUUAAAUGGCUGCGCUGUGUGAAGCAAAUGGCAGCACUGAACCCGUCAAGUGCCAUUGCUCCCUCUGAUUAGAGGAAAAGGCACGGCUGACCUUUUGCACUACCUCAGUCACCAGGUUCCUGAGUGACGUGGUCUAAUGGGGCAUGGACCUCAGGGGGGACGUGGAUGACCUACUGAUAGAGCAGUUGGAAGAGGAGUCAGUAGAGGAAGGAGAAGGCAGAAAGGGCUCAGAUUGUCCACUCUGAGUCUGCAAAGAGAAGCUCACUGCUUACAUCCUCUUUGGUUUCCUUCCCCCCUCUCCCCGAAUCACAUUCCUCUUUUGGCUCCUUUGCCAGGAGAGACACUAUGAUCCUGCUGGUCAGCCCCUCCUUGAGGGUGGAACCACUUGUGGGUAGAUCUUGUUGUCCUUGGCAAGGGGAUGUCAUUGUAAAUCAGAGUGAAAAGAUCAAUGUGUUUUUCUGUAACCAAGGAGCAUCUCUGAUUGAUUUCUUCAUGGAGUCCUUCAUGGAGUAUCAGGUUGUGAUGGCAAAAAUUCCCAGAUAAGCGUAAUAGGGAAGAAAGACAUUAAAAGGCCUGGAGAAGCUGAGCUCCUGCAGAGACUGCCAGCAGCAACCCCAACACCUUCCUUGUGACCCAUCUGAGCCCUUCCUCCGGGGAAAAAUAACUGUCCAUCUACAGCAGUGGCAUAUACUGUUUUCCUGUGAUGUUACAAACACUGGACAAAACCAUGGGGAAACGGAGACAUCCUUCAGGAAGCUGUCAAAUUUUGCAGAAAAACCUCAUUUUCAGACUCUCUCAAACCCAAAAUUGUGCUUCUUCUCGCCAUGACUGAGAGUCACUGAGCUACCAUGGUCAAGAUAGUACAUCUCUCUGGAACAGAUCAACUUCAGUAAUCAAACCCUGGUAAGUCUAAGCCCUAAGUGGCUCAAAAGCUCUCUAUUUUUUUCUGUCCCUCUGUCAUGGAAACAAAAAAGGCGGACGAUAAGAAACCAAUCUCCCCUUGGGACUUUGGACAAUAACUUUGAGCAAGUAUCUUGGGCCUAACAUCAACCUUUACAAAGCCAUGGGAAUUGAGGUUCCCAAUAACAAACCAGAGGUCCUUUAACAUCCUCAGUCAUCUAAAAAGGAUUUGAUAUGAGUCUCACACUCUAUCUACUAGAGCAUGAAAAAUAACUCAGAACUAAAAAGGUAGAAACCAAAAGGGUUUUUCUGGAUAACCUUCCACUACUCAGGAUUCUUCCAAGUUUAGCACUUUGUGGAAGUUGUGCUACAUCUUCCCGUUAGUGCAGGUGUGUUUCUUGGCCAUCAUUCUGUGAACUAACAGAGCAGAACCACCUAAAAUGCAAAGAAGACCAAACCCCCGGAGAUCUAACUCUAGUCAAGACUGUAACAAGCUGACGUCCCUCUAAUUCUCUGGGCCUCAGCCUCCUCAGCUGUGAGACUGGCCAGUUGAAUUAGAAACAGACCGUUCUUAGAUGAAAGGGAGGAGGGAUGAGCAGGGCACAGAGCACCCGUUUAACCCAGAGAAGGAAAAAGGGCAUAAGACCAUUCACGCUUCACCAGUGGCAAAACAUGUGUGUCAUCUUCCUUGAAUUUGCUCACCCGAUCUGCACUCUUCUUGAAUACGGAUUGGUUGUCCGUGUCCAGGAAUGGUUCUCCCAUUCUUCUGCAUGUGUCUGAUUCUAUUCAUCCUUACAGAGCCAGUUCAAAAGUCAUCUCUUUAAGAAUUCUUGUAUGAAUGAUCUCUUCACCCAACUAUUCUAGCGUUGAUUUGCACCUCUACAGAAGACUUGUCACUUUGCCUCAUUCAAAAAUGCUUCAUUCCAACCUGUAGCCUUCCAGACACAAGACCAUAUUCCAUAUUUGUGCCCGAGGGAGCCCAUGUUACCGUGGCAUGGCUGGCCAACUGGAGGAAGGAAUCAGUGGAAUCCCGUAAAAUCUGGACAUAGCAAAAUCACUCCACCUAAAUACUUCGCUAUUUUGAAAUUCUUAUUUAGAUCUUCUUAUAAAAACCCUGAACUAAUCCCAUUCCAAAUUCUAUAGCUUGUUUAGUUAUGGUUCCCACAUCUGACCACUUAGACUUGAGAAGAAACUCUCACUUCUGACAGUCAAUCCCUGAUGAGUGCCACACAUAGUGGUUUUCUCGUACCCCUCAAAUCAAUGCCCUUGACAACAUUUCAGCCCAAGCCUACUGGGAAGACGUAAUUCCUCUCUUAUAGCCCCACCUCCCAGGAACCAGAAGAUGACACUUAGAGAACCAGUAAUCUUAAUUCAACACAGACAAAGGAGAAAACAAUACCCAUGGCUCCUUAAAGCUGUGUAUUAGCCACACUGCAGAGAGUAUCUCAAUUGAUAUUAAUGUGCUUACAGCUUAUUACACAAAAUUAAUUAAAAAUUGAAUAAGACCAGAGCCCCAAAUUCUGCAUGUCUAAUUUUUCUGCCAAAGCAGCUCACACAAUGAAUAGCUAAAGUUCUAAGAGCAUUAGUUUAUCAUAGUGCAGCAUACACCUCCAUUUUGGAUCACUCCCUUUCAAAGGAAAUGGGGACUGUUGGUGGCUUUUGGGGUCUGCCAUGAACAUGCCAUCUUUGGAGAUUGGGGCUAGGUCUCAAUGGAUUUGUUGCCAUUAUUCUAGGAGACUCAGCUCAAGUCUCAGUCCCCAGAGAAGUACCCAUUCCUUUUGAAAAACCACCAACAGCCCCUCCCAGGCAGGAAGGCUAGCCCUGUCAUGCAUCUCUCCUGGCCUCAGAACUCUCUUCAGACUCGUGGGUGAGUAUCAGGAAGGAGCCCCUGCCAGGCAGGCCAAGCUGACUCCUCUCUCUGUUCUGAUGCAUCUGCUCCCUGGAGUAGCUGGAUAGGGUAGAGAGCUAAUGAAGGCUGGAGCUAGACAGACAACAGCAACAGCUUUCCGUCUCUGAGCCACUGUUCCCUUACACAGCCACUGUCCUGUGAGGAUGGUGUUAAGAGCUAAAUGAGAUACGGUCUAGGUUGUGCCUGGCACAGGGAAGGUGCCUGAUAAAUGUGAUUGACAUUUAAGACAAACCCCUGCCAUAUACAGUAUUCAUGAACCUAUUGCCUGUCAAUCUGGAGGGAACAAUAGAUUCUGGAAAGUAAGAGUGCAUUUCAGUCAUCUCUGUGUUCUCAGUGCCUCAUACAGCACCUGGCACACAGCAGUCUAUAAGUGUCUACAACACAAAUGAAAGAAAGGAUGGAAAAGAACAGUCACUGGACUCUGGGUGUCUACCAUUAGCACCUUACCCAUGCUAGCUCGUCGAAUCUAUCCAUCAGUCUUAAGAGUCGAUACCAUCUCUGGUAGACAGUUGAAGAUAAAAAAGCUCAAAGAAAUGUAGUGUGACAGCUUUGCUGAGGCCACACAAAUAAAUAGACAAGCCACGUGCAAUCAUCCAUAUUCCAUCUUUAAAAAAAAACACAUGAAUGUUAUGUGCCAGACACUGAGGUGAGUAUCUUACAUAUAUUAUAAUUUAAAUAUUAUAAUCUAGUGAAAUUUCAGGUGGGGACACUGAGGCUUACAAGGGUUGGAUAGCUUGCCCACUGUUUUCAACCCCAACGGCCAUUUCAAAUGGGUCCAACUGAUAUUAAAAGGGGAAGCCAGGACUCCAGCACUGGCUGCAGGCCUUGACCUCCUGAUGUGCUACGCUGCUUCUGCAGAGAAUGGACCACCGAAUGGUAGGAGGGACUGGAGAGAGGAGGAAGAGCUGGCAGGGAAGAGAGAGAAAACAGGAAUGGGAAUGGAAGCUGUCGGCAGGCUGUAGAUAUGUGGGCAAUCCCACCAAGGCCAGACCUUUCCCAUUAACCUUCUCCAUCCUGGCGGCCAGAAAUGGCUGUCUCCAAAACCCAGAGUGGCCAGUCGGUAUGAAAAACACCAGAGGAAGGCUUCUCCCUUAUGCCUGGCCCCAGAAGGACUGUAUGGAUGCUUUCCUGUUGGGAUGGGAACAGGCUGUCCAGUUCCCACCUAACCCAGAAUACUGUGCAGCCGCCACGCUCGGCUGGGAUUGGCAUCACAGGGCCAUUCCUUCCCGGUCCAUCGGCACCUAACUGUUCUCCAGGGCAGUGGAGGCCUCCUGUCUGGCUGGCAGCCACAGCUCCACAGCGUCUCUCAUGAAGGCCUCUUAAAGUCACUGGUGCCCUUACCAUUGGAAGUCAGAGCAGCCCAGCAGAGAUCAUAGAAAACCAGGCUGCUGCCAGGGCAAGCUCUUCUGGCCAGCAUUGUGACAAGGAAACAAGGACUCACAGAAAUGGAAUGAGGAGGGAUGGCUCCUCAGAGGAAAGGACACAGGGAGGAAGCCCUGCCUGUAUUUGAGACCUUCUGCAAGACUACUCCUCUCUCUGAGGAAGAAGAUAGACUAAUUCUUUUAAGCCUUAUAAACACCCCGUGGCACAAGCCAAAGGUUUUUCAUAACAAGUAAGAAAACUGCAGCACAGAGAGAUUAAGUGACUUGGGCAAUGUCACACAGAAAGAAAAUGGGGAGUUGGGCUGUGACUUCAGGCUGGUCUGGCUUGAAGUCUUCACUGCCCUGCCAUGGGCUCUGCUCCCUCCCUGGUGAUAAGGGCUGAUGGUCAUUGUCUUACCCUCCCAAGCUGGCACAAAUCUGUCUAUUAAGAGAAACUCUCUUGAAAGACACUAUAGGGCUCUCAAACAAGGUAUUAAUGUAGGAACUAAGGUCAUUAUGCUGUUCUUCCCCAAAUCUCCAACCCGUUUCCCACAUUCCUACUGCCAUGAUUUGCAUGAUAGCUUCAUAUCAUAUAUACUGAUAUUUGUUUUUAAAUCAAAUUUGAACAGCCCAUUUAAAAAUGUAAUAUCAUCCUAAGAUAUAUGAAAUCAAGGAUUUAAUGCAUGAUUAUAUUCUUUCAUAAUGCACAACAAAAAUACAUUGAUAAUAAUUUAAUUAUGCACUCUUAAGUGACAUGUAGGAGCAUCCCUCCAGAGGCCGUCUGGGGGGACCACCUCUGUGAGCCUCCACCCCUCUCCCUACAUGGAUACACGUAUGUGUCUUGGACCACAUCUUCUCCCAGCUGUGUGCUCUGUCCUCCAUCAUGGAUGCAGAACUGGAAAGGAGCAGGUAUCUUUUAAGAGAACCUGGACUGCAGUAAGUGGGCAUAGGAGGCAGAAGUUGAGAUCUGAGAACCAGGAGGAGUACAGCUUCCAGUGGGAUGCAGCCAGAGGUGGCUGAGGGGUGGGAGACUGGCUUGCAAGAAGAGGUAGGGCAAGAAAGAGGCCUGUCCACUGGGCUAUGGCCCAUUCUACCACCCGCAGUAGCACAGUGGGCAAGUUUUGGUUUCUAUGUAUCCUGGCUAACACUUGGAAUUCUUAAUCUUUUUAAUUUCAGCCACUCUGGUAUGUGUAUAGUUUGGUUUUAUCCAAACUGCAAAGCAAACCAUAGAUUCAUGCCAUUUCUAAAGACAGCACAGAGAGAUAAUGGUGUGCAUGCUGACCCACAAGACCUAGUCUCAAUGUGUGCUCUCCAGCUAUGGACCUGAUAAGGAAAGAUUUGCCACUGGUCUUUACAAAGCCCUCAUCCAGCGCCUUGCAAAAUAUCUGACCUUCCUAGCAGACUAAGGAAGUCAGGGAAGGAAUUAUUCUCAAGAGCUUACAUAACUUUCCGAGUAAGUGGCUGAGACAAAAUUCAGAACUAUCUUCUUCUGAUUCCAGUCCAGUAUUCUUUCAUUAAGCUAAUACUUACUUUUAAUUCAUUUGCUCCUCAUUUCCAUGAAGCUGUCAAACUUCAUGAUCUCUGGUGCUCCUUUUCGUUUAAAUACAGUAGAGGAUUUAUUUCUGAAUGUAUGCAUGCCUUACUCACUAAGGGUAUAAACAGGGGAAGACCCUGGCCCAACCCCGAGAAGAAACUGAUCCAAGCUCAAAUGGUAACUCAAAUGUUAAAUAAAACUGUGAAGACAUCGCUGUUGGAAACUAAAGAGACUCAGUAAGACUAAGAGUGAGCAGAGAUUUUCAGUUUGAUCAUGAUGUUCAUCCAUCCUAUUAUUCAGCAGCCAUUUAUUCAGUAUGCUCUCUGCCAGUCCCGUACUAGUUUGGAGAGUUGCAGAAAUCAUUCAGAAACAAACCCUGCUCUCAAGAGGAAAGAGCCCAGACCUGGGAGCAAAGAGCCCUGCCUGUAUGCAAGACUUUAUGUAAAGAGCCCUCCUCUCUUGGGGAAAGAAGGUGGACCUACUCCAGGGCUUGAUCAUCUCUAUUAAGCCUUAUAACCACCCUGUGGUGCAGGCAGAAGGUUUUUCUCACACUAUACACACCUCUUUAUAUUUUCAGUUACUAGACAGCCUUAUCUCAUCUCUCUGCCAUUCCCAGAUCAUCUAUUACUAAGUCUGGUGCAAACUAUUGCUAAGAUAAACUUGACGAAUGAAGGAACUACUCAUCCCUGAACAUUCUAAAAAAGAAUUUGGAAUAUGCAUUUCUGUCAUUCCUCAUUUUUCUCAUUAGGCUGAGCAUCAUGUCUUCACUGGCCACAGUCCCUUCCUUGGGUCCUUUAGAGUGCAGAAAGGGCAGAGGAAGUGAUAUUGGGACAACCUCCUUUUCCAGUGGUUCCCAAGGAGUGUGCACAUCAGGGAAGAAAGUUCUGCCCACAUUCCCAGGAGGCUCUUAUUUAUGAGAUUCCUCUGUAUCCGACAUGGUUUUUGAUUUUCCAAUUGGCUAGUCAUAGAUUUCCACAGAAUGCUUUUGAUGAGGCCACCUGCAGUGCCUCUAAAGACAAUAAGAAAGUUCCAAAAAAGCAAAUUAUUCCCAAACACAGCAUUUCAACAAAGAAGAUGUGUAAAAAGUAGUUUGUAAAAGGUGAGAAGCUUACAGACAAAGACCAUCGAAGAAAGAAAGACACCAAAACUCCAGCACAGGGACAGCAUCCCCAGUGUCCUUGCUUGCCAAGACACUAGGGCUCAGCUCCCAGACCUAAGUCAUGAGUCUGUCUGACCAGAGACCUUCAGGUCCAUAAACAUUCACUGAGCUUCAGUUACAUGGACCUACCCAGUGGCUCAUCUGUCUCCCUUCCUCACCCCUCAAAUAUCAUUAGUCACCAAGUCCUCCAAACCAUGUAUCUUUGGAAGCCAUCCCCAGUUAGCACUGCUUACUGCCACCAUCUAAGGCCAGGUCGCCAUUCUCCUUUACCUGGACUCCCACAAGAGCCUCCUUAAUCAGCCUCCCUGCCUCUGCUAAGGCCACUCACCCACACAGCUGGUGCAAAUUUAAUCGCAGCACUGUCCUACCACAAAGCCUUCUUCAGUGGCUACGACUCACCCUCAGAAAAUGUCCCAACCCCUUCUAAUAGUCUGCAACAGUUGCUGCCUCCAGUUCCCACCCUAUCUCAUGCUUUCUUCCCAGGGUUCACUGCUCCAGGCAAUACUUUUUCAGUGAACCCCCACCUGAGCCCAAAGUGCAAGCUAGUCCCUUUGCCUUAAGCCUUGCAGUACCUGGGCAUUCUCCUCUGGUGAUGCUCAUCCCAUUGGUAAUUCUUCUCAGCGUUAGGCCUCCUUCCUAGACUGCAGGCUCCCUGCAGGCCCAUGUACAUCUCAUCCACUGCCCAUCCUCAGCCCCUAACAGGCAGCCUGCCCGGCAGGAGGCUUUCAAUAAACACUGAUGGACUGAGAGGCUGACUGAGUGAUGCACCAACUGUUUGAUUGUAAGCACUGAACUCAGUUCCAGACAGUCAGAAGUCACAGGGCAGAUACUUGGGUGUCUUUCCAAGCUCAGGAAGGAUCCAUGAGCUAUGUGACCCAUAACAGGUAACUUCACCUCACUCAACUCUUCGUCUUCACCAGCACGAAGCAAUCCUGCCCUUUGGCCACAGAGAGGCUGUCCCCAACUGUGAGGAGGCUUCACAAAAUGCAGAUGCUCUGAGUAGGGCUGUGCUCGCAAAUAAACCCUGCCCUGGUCCUCUCCUCUCCCAGAUGGAAAGGAAGAGUCUCUACGUACCUGUGCUGCAGUCUCCAUCCUUAGUACAUUCUCAGGGCACCUUGAGAUGGAGCUAAGAGCCUCUCAAUAAAUAAUAAAUGGACACAAUGAGAAGGAGGAAAUCAGGAAGAUUGUUAAAUAAGGUUGAAGAAAGAUAUUCCAGUUCCCCCCAAAUUAAAAUAGCUCCAGCCCUCUCUGUCUCUGGGGUCUUGUAAUGAAGGGAAAAGACCUAAAUUCAUGUGAGAAGAGGAAAGAAAUGCUCUUGAGGAUUUGUGGGUAGAGAACAUUCUGGGAAGGUCCUUUAGAUUCUCUACAACUUACUGGUUUUGAUGGCUUCAGAAGUUCAAAGUGUUGUCCAGGUCGCAUGGAAAAAGAUGUUGUCCUUGGAGAAGGGGCAUCACCUGGGAACUUGUUAAAAUGCAGAUUUACCCGCCUUAAUGAUCAACUAUGGGGCUGGGGAUGGGGAUGGGGCAGGGAAAACUGGGUUUGCAGGAGCCCGUGAGUGACAGCAGCUUGUCAUGUGUGAGAACUCCUGUGCCUGUGGACCAGAGGAAGGCUCAGAGAAGGGGAGGUAGGAUGGAGCCUUUCCUAUCUAAUCAAGGGGUGCCAGUGCCCCCCUCCUCCAGCACCAACCAUGUAUUUCAGACUAGCAUAAAGAGGAUGUAAUGUCAAGUUGCACAUGUCUGGGAUUCCCUUCAUUACUAAAAGCACUGGUUCUGAAAUCCCAGCAGAGAUUUAAGAAUAGGAACCCAAGAAAGCAAAUAAAUAUUUAUGCCCGCCCACCCUGUUUCCUUCCCCAAUACUCUGGCAACAUUGGCUACGGAGAUGUAUUUGUCAGUCCCUGCUCAGUCUAGGGGGGUCUUGAAAUUGAGAGGGAGGAUGAGAAUAAGAAGUGGGGCAAAAAUUUAUUGACUUUCAAGGGUUUCAGGUUUACAUUUACAUCUGCCUGCUAAGGAAAAUCCCAAGUUUGACUUUUUGAUUUCUUCCUGCCCUCUCUGAGAGAGAAAAGUUUCCAUUUGCUAAGAGAGAGACCAAGUCCGAAGGGAAAGAUUGAAGGGACAGAGAAAAUAGGAAAAUAGGUAUGGAAAGUGACAGAAACCCCUUACCCAUUGUGUGUUGUGAGACUCAGGAUUUGGGGUAGAUAGAGGGGUGGAGAGAAGUUAAAGAAUGCAAGAAAAGUGGGGAGGAGAGGAAAAGGUUGUUCACACAGGACUGGGGCAGACAGAUGAUCCUGAGCACCCUCAAUAUUUCCUGGAAGUGCAAGAAAUGGAUUUCAGUUACUCUUCAGUUUCUUUUUUUUUUAAACUAAAAGUAGUUGAAUUACUUUUGAAUUUUAAUUUUGAUUGUUAAUCCUUGGAUACAGCAAUGCUCCAAAACUGGAUCAUGUGCUUCCUUCGUCUUAUGGCCACACGUCUAACCUGACCAGCAGAUUACAUAUGUAAUGUACGCCCUCUGUGCUAAGCUUACUCUGCUGAAAUCAGGCAGGGAGGCCUUUCCAUAGAGAAGACAUCAAGGCGGGGUCUGAAAGAAUGAAUAGAGGUAGUCAGGGAACAAAGAGCAGCUGGUCAAUGACAAAGGACCUGUAUUUUGAAAUAGCAUUUUGGUGCAAAAGACCAACGAAUUUCAACAAGAGUGAGCCGCCAUUCUGAAUACUGUGGGUAACAAGGAGCACAUCCAGCAUCUCCUGGUACAGGUGGCACUGCCUCAAUUACAGAGAGUUUAUGAUCAGCCACCUGGACAUUUCCAGCUGCCUGAAAUGAACUAUUGGAUGGAACUUCCCCGUGCUGAGGUGCCUCCUCUCACCCUCUGCCAUGCCACGUGUUGGGGAUACUAACUCCUGUCUACAGAUGUGACCCUCCCCGGUCUCUCUCUGAGUCUCUAGAAAACCAGGAAGUUCCAUCACUGCUCAUCUCCAGGAGCAGCAGCAGCAUUUCAAUUCUCAUUUAUUGGGAGCAUGUUUAAGAAAGAGUGAAAGCAAAAUAUCAAAUGAUAUUAUUAACAGGAUGUUAUCCCUCCUUGACAGAUGAGGAAACUGAGGCUCAGCCAGAAUGUGGUGGAGCCAGAUAGAUCCCAGGUAAAUCUGGCCCUUGUCCACUAAGCUCUACUGACCCCAACUCUUAUCACACGUUGUCCUUUGCUCUGUCCUCUACAUGCUGAGGUGACAUUCCUAAGCAAAGAGUUUCCCAGCAAAAUACCUAAUAUAUAUAUUGAGUUCUCUGGGGAUGUGUUGAAUUCUUAAUUGAAGGAAAGCACCCUGUGUGUCCAGGAAUACAUGAUGCUGGUCUCAUCGUGGAAGCUGAGGUAUGAUGUGAAGGAUGGCUAAAGUCCCUGCCUCCAAACACUAACCCCACUGCAUCACACGCCAUCUAUUUGCCUACCUUAGUUAUGUCUUAAUGUGCUUUUUUUUUUAACAUAAUGUAAAAAUGAAGCUAUGGCAUCUGGGUGCCCUCAGAAACAUCAGCACUGGGGAGUGGCCAGGAGUACAGAUGCUGGAUACAAAUUCCAAGUACAAACUCCAGCCCAGCCACAGACUUUGUGGCCCCGGAUAAAUUAGUUAGCCUCUCUGUGCCUCAGCUUGUUCAUUUGUAAGAUAGUGAUAGUGACAUCUGACUUGUGUAGUUGGUAUGGAGAUUGAGUUUAUUAGUAUUUGUAAAGUGCUUAAGAGGGUGUCUGGCACAUUUAACACUAUUUAAGCAUGGGUUGCAUAUGUAAUCAGGCAGGGCUUAGAUGGAAACCAGCAGAGAAUCAGAAUGAGGUUCCAUAUAAAAGGGAAGAUGAAAGGCAGGAAAGGGCCCAGAUGGAGGGCGGGGGCGCAGGAUCUGCCAACUGUAUGAUAUAGUCAAGGCUACCCUUCCCUGGACAGUUCCCCCUGAUCCUCCUUCUGUCUGCACCCCUUGAACCAGGACAGGAAAUGGACAGGAUAGAGAACAACUCCACGGAGGAUGCUGUGGACUCUCGGGGUCUCUCUCUGUGGGGUCCAAUUCUCUGAGCACAGCAGAGCAGAGCAGCUGCCCAGUCCAGCCCCAGGACUCUCAGCACUGGCUGAAUCCUGAGCUCUGGCCCAGCUCAGAGCACUCAGUCAUCUCUCUCACCAUCUCUGGGUCAAACAAAACAAUCUCAAGUUUGAUUUGGGACUUGAACUUCAAUCCAAGCUCUACAGCAGACACUGUGUGUGCUCUUUGGUCAGUAACCACCACUUAUGACUCUCAGUUUCUUCAUCUUCAAAUGGGGAAGGGUAGUUAAUUCACUUCCGAGGCUUUGGGAGAAACUAAGUUAAAUAGUGUAGGCCAACCCUGGGGCAAGGAGCCUGGGCCAUGCUGGGCAGUCUGAGAGUAUUUGCUGGAGGACUUCCCGGAUCAUGGCCUCCUUUGUUCCAGUUAAACUUGGACCCCUGCACCAAAUCACCCCUUCCCCUCUGAACUCUUCCAAGGCCCCUCCAGGCAGCCCAGGACUAUUGGAACCCACGUGAUGCGAGGAGGUAAGAGCUUCCAGGCUCCACCCGCCACCUGAGAGCCCAGGGAGCGGCUGGGAUAGAGGAGAAGGCUCAAAGGGAAACCAAGCUCUAUUAAUGAAAGAUCAGGAAAGGUAAGGCCCAAAUGGGGCUUUUUAAACCUGGAAGUCACAUUAAGUAAAACAAAAGUGAUCGAGGUGGAGAUUUUUUUCCUUUCCUUCUCUUUUUUAAAACUUCUAGCCCCAUUCAGCUUUUUACCUUUGCAGAAUAAACCCAUGUCUUUCUAGCUCCUAUAAGGCCCAACAGACAGGGGGUGGGCCAAAGAUUUGCUCACUGAGGGGAGCUGAUACUCCCAAAGGGGAAAAAAGGCAUGUGAUUUACAUGGCUUAAUAUACUCAUUAAGGGUUUAAUUGGAGUCACUUCGCCACUGAUCCUCCAACAGUCCCCUUUUCCCCCCUUUUAAUUAACAGGGUAACCUUUAGCUUCACGACGCAUAAAGAAAGACGAGUAUAAAAGAGGGAGCUCUAUCUCAGUUCUUGACAAGAUCCUGCCAGACAGCUUAAAACCCCAGUGGGAUUCAUGAGUUCUGGGGGUGUCUGUCUUUGGGGUAUUAACAUCCUCAGAAAAGAGGUUGUUGAGAGCUGAGUCAGCCAGACCCAGUUUCCAAUACUGGCUGUGUCAUUCACUAGCUGUGAUCUGGGGAAGGUGCUCAAUCUCUCAGCCUCAGUUUCCUUAUCUGUAAAACAGGGACCAUAAUUGAAUAGAAAGUCCACAGGGUUAUUGUGAGGGUCAAAGAAGGGAAACAUCUGCUGUGAACUUAGCACAGUACUUGGCACUCAGUAGUUAGUGCCCAAGGAAAGUUUGCACCAAAGUCACAAGACAGAGGAUAAAAAGUUGCAGGGUAGCAAGAACAAGGGGCUUCCCAAGCAGUAAUAAAUUAUCAUUUUCCCUUGACAGAGAAACACACAGUAAAACAGUCUUUUUUUUUUCUAACUAAAUAAAAUAUUUUUUAGCAAAAAUUAUGUGGGGUGAUGACACAAAAUUGCCUUACAUGAUCGAGGAUCAGAAUAUCUUAGCUGAUGGGGUAGGGUUGUGGCUCAGCAGUAGAGCAUUCGCCUAGCACCUGUGAGGCCCUGGGUUUGAUCCUCAGCCCAUGUAAAAAUAAAUAAAUUAAGGUACUGUGUCCAACUACAACUAAAAAAUAAAUAUUUUUUUUUAAAAAAAUGUAUCUUAGCUGCUUGUCGUGGUCUCAACUGGUCGGGCACCCCCCCCCUUUCCGACCUCCCUUCUUCCUGCCCCUUCCCUGCUUGCUUGUACCAUGAAAUAUAAAUAAUUAAUGUUAUCCAAUUACCCAAGCCAAAAAUAAAUAAAGUUUCAAGGAUGUAUUGGAUUUCCACCCGAAUCCACCGUUUGGAAGAAGAUGCCUGCCAUGUGCAGGUGUCUGCACCUCGAAAGCCAUUUGUGAUGGGGCUGCUCAGUGGGUACCAGGGUUAGUUAAAGCUCACUUCAUUACAGUGGCAUCAGGGCAGAUGGGAACUGGCGGCGCUGGGCUGUUUUCAUAGGGAAAUGUGCACAAAGUCCCAGGUCAGCGCGGUGAUAAAUGGUCUCGCCGACAAUUUGCUGGGAGCGCACAUCUUGGGGGACUCCCGAGGUCAUGAAAUCUCUGCUGUUAAGCUACACAAUUUUCUUUACUUAUCAGUUCCAACCACAUCGCAGACACAUAUUUGAACAAUGAAACAAAGGACGGUACUCGCGUUAUCAUGCCCCAGGCGAAGAACGGAGCAGUGCUAAGCCAGACAGUGCUGAUUGGACAAAGCCUGGGACAUACAAACCACGGACUGCAGAAGGGGAAGAAGGCUGGAGGUCGCUUUUUAAAGUAGCAAGUUGGAAUGGGGGUGCACUCUCUGAAGAGCACACGUCCCAACUCCCCUGUGGCUGGUCCUAUCUAUCAUCCACACAGCCGUCAGAGGGAUCUCCACAAUGCAACUCCUAUGUCCAUAGGAAAUAGGAGUCAGAGAAAGUCAGACUCCUCUGCAAACCUAGAAACCCUCCAUGCCUGAUCCCGCCUUCACCACCUCACUCCUCUCCCAUGGUUCCUUCUAUCUCUUCCACACUCUGGCUAUACCUGCAGGGCUCUGUUCAUGCUCCACUCUGCCACCGACACUCUUCUCUACCUCUUCACCUGACUCGAUCCAACUCAUACUGAACAUCUCAGCCAAGCACCCACUGUUCUCACCCCAGGGCCCUGCAGUCUUCUUUGAUCACCAUCCAGCUGGGAUCUGGUGCUCUUCCUUGGACUCACAUGGCAUAGCCCUGUUACCUGUCUCUAGAUAUAGCUCCACUGGGUCAGGGACUGUCUUGUUUGUGGCAUUUCUGGUGUCCCAUACCACGCCCUGGGCAACGUAGAUGCUCAAAAUUGCUUAUAAAAUGAUUGAGUAAAUACGCAGAGAAAGAAACUUUGCACCUGCCGGAGGCGGCAGUCUUAAGAGACCACACACACAUCCUGCCAAAUAGGGUCAGGACCCCCAUCUCCUCCCCUGCCUUCAUCCAAAUGAGCCUCCAUCUGGCACUGGGAGACAGAGAUUAAGUGAGUUAACAAAGUUAAAAAACCAUACAGGUCACCAGAAUUGAAAUCCCUGGAAGGAGUUGGGAAGUGACCCUGGAAUAGGGGAGUGGAGGCAGGUAUGGGAUUUGGUGUGUGCACCAGAAGUUUGGGGUCAGAGGUAUGGGAGAGUACCAGAGGGUUAGGAGCAACAGGAGAAGAGGUGGUUCCAAGAAUUCCCUUAAACAGUCAUGAACAUAUGCUGACACCUUCGUGAGUGAGCUUUAUGGGCCAGAACAAAGCAGAAUCUCCUGGCUAUGGGGAGGGGGCAGGGAGGCCUAGCUGCUCAUUAAGGCAGAGGGGACAGUAGAAUUUCUGAGAACAAUAAUCUUGGCUAAUCAGAAAAAGGAAGCCUGGGUAAAGGGCAGGAGGAGGAGAAUCCUGGUGAUGUAGCUCCUUCUGGAGGGAAUGGAUGAAUCCAGGGGGAUACUCAGAGAAAUAUCAGAAGUGUCUGAGCUGGCAGCUUGGAGAAGAGAGCAGUGGCUCUGGUUCUAUCUGCCCCAUGACUUUAAGCAAGUCCCCUGCUGCCCUUGUCUUUUCCUUUCCUCUUUUGGAAAACACUCCCCUCCGUAGUCUGUUAGCAUCUUGCCAUUCUUCAGGGGCCUUCCCCAUGAAUACACUUUAAUCUUCCCACAUCUCCUUGGUAGAGACCCCCACAUAGCAGAUGAGGAAACUGGGACCCCAUCUAAGCUCAUUUAGCUAAUGAGUGGCUAUGCUCAGAUUGCAACCAAGGACAAGUCUGAAGUGUAUGCUCCCUUGAGCUCAGGUGGCUCAAGUUCACCAUGCUAGCCCCACCGGCUGUCACCUGGAGGGAGAAUGUAGAAGCCAAGUCAGUUCAGGUUGACCCCAGCAGUUGGCAAAACGUUCUACCUCUCCCUGCGUCAGCAAACUCCUGGUAGCUCUUUUCUUGUAUUUGUUGCUUGGUACCCAACAUUAAAUUACAUUUCCCCUGCCCACUGCAUACUUUCUAUACUCUGACUCAGUGACCUUGUCUUGUUUACAUAAUGAGCAGUCCAUACCAAGUUAAUUAUGGGUGAUGACAGUGUCAUAUGGCAUCCCUUCUAGAUAACACUUUGGCAUUCCUAGAGGGCUCUUCUUGGCAACCCAAUGCCUUCACUUGAAGGCCUAAUAAAAGAAGAGAAAAUGAGAGCACUCACUGUUCACCAAAGUCCCUACUCUGUGCUGGACUCAUGCAUGGAUAUUACCAAGCAAUUGCUACAGAUCCCAUUUUAAACAUGGAAGAACUGAGGCCUAGAAAGACUCAUAACUCAUCCAACAUCAUGGGUAGAAAGUGGCAAAGCAAGGAUUCCACUCUAGGCCUUUCUGAAUCUCAAACAUGCCUUUUUCACUAUCUUUCAACAGAGCUGGGUUUCCAAGCACCUGGUGGGUGUGGAGGGAGUUGGGUGUUUCUGGCAGUGUGCAGAGCAAGGGACUUCCAGGGCAAACAGACCUUCUGACAGUCUUCACGUCACUCCUUGUAAAGGGAGUAAUACAGCCCUGGCAGCCAAACCAUCUCCAUGGAGAAAAGCAGCAGCCACUACAGAAGGGAGGGGAUCCUUUGUCAAGGAGGGGGCAGUGGGAGGUCCAGGUGGGGAAGAGGUAGGGGAGGAAGUGAGACCAAUGUCAGAAUUUGGGUAGAAAACAAUCAAUAUCCUGGCAGGCACCUCCCAAACAUCUGCUUCUCUGUUUGUUUGGGGAACCUGGUGGUCUAAAACCAGCAGCUUUCGGUGCAUUAGUCAGAGAGUAUUUAUUUCUCUUCUCUAUCUAGAGUGUCCAGCAGCAUCCUAGGCUUUUCUGGGACAGUUAAUGCUACUUCUAUCUUCUGGAGAAAAAGGACAAAAUAUUUACAAAGGACAAGUUGGCUACCCUUUGCCUCUCUCCUUGGUCCACAUUCUUUGAGCACCUAGAACUCUAGGUCAGGAAACAGAGGCUCAGCCAUGCUGCUUUGAAGACCAGACAGACAGAAUUCCAUAUUAAAACGUACAGAGAGAAAAGAAGCCAUUUCACCCUCUGUUCCAUGAUUCCCUGCUGAAUAGGAGUGGGGGUUUAAAAUUUAAUCAUGAAUUCAUUGGAAGGAAAUAAAUCACGGAGUAAAUGUUUAAAGUGCAAAAUUGCUGAGCUCUUGGGUUGUGAUCACUUGAUUUAGCAUAAAAAUUAAGAGUUCAUGUUUUCCAAGAGCAGAGACAGAGCCGCAUUUAAAAUUUGCUUAAAUGACAGAUGCCAUUAAUUUUUUAAAAAUAAUCUGAUUUGCAAUGCAGUCUACAACAUAAAAAUGUCUCACUGCUCUCAACCUGGGCUUGGAGCUGCAGAAGUUGGAUCUAUGGAAGCAUCUGCAGAAAACUGGAGACUGAUCCCUACUCUGCUUCAUGGGCUUAGGCAGAUGAAUCCUGACAUUUUCCACCUAUGACUCAAUCUAGGAGGGAAUGCUCUUGCCCUGCGAGGUGCUGUUGAGACCCUGGUGGAGCCAUCAGGAGAGAAGUAGCCAAUAAUUAAGAAAACAGGUGUGUGUGCAAUCAGCUUGCAUUCCGGCCAAAUUCAGGCCACUCUUCUCUUACCUGGGUGGGCUAGGAGCUCCUUACUCUGCCCUUUUCCCUUUAAUAAACUCUAGCACCUUGCCCACCACAUUGUGACCACAUGGCUAAUGAUUAUGAUCCUUCCUCCUUCCUACCCCAGCCCAGCUCUUGUGGAGUAAACCCAAUCACCCAGCAGAGCUUAUGCCAGGACCCUGAACAAUCAGAGCCCUAAACCUGAGCUCAAGGUUUCUCUCCAUGAGUCCUCAUAAGGCCUGACCAAAUCUGGUCACCGCUUUGCCUGAUCUCCCUCACUCUCCCCUCUCCCACUGUCAAACAGGCCCAGCCUGCUCUACCUCAUGACCAUUCCUCUUCAGUGAGAACCAGUCUCCCCUUAAAAGCCACAUAAGUGAGGGAGUCCUCACUUUGCUUAGGGUCUACAUAAGUGUCACUUAUCAGAGAGGCCUUCCCUGACCUCCCUACUCAUCUAAAAUCACACUCCUGCUUCUACCCACACACUUGUUAUCCCUUUCUGUUGCUUUAUGACUCCCCGCCCCGUAGUACUUAUGGCCACCUGGUGCAUGGUAUCCACACCUGCUUUUGCUAUUGGUUGUCUUCCCACACUAGUGAAUAUUAACAGGAAGAAAUCAAUGAACAAAUGGCAUCCUGUUCUGUUUGUUGUUCCCAAAAUAUGUGUGCCACUGCCUGCCUUCCUGUAUUUGAAUACGAUGUUCCCUUUACAGGGAAACAAAGCUAGGCUGCAGCUCUUCUCCAGUGCCUCUUCUCUAGGAAAUUCCAUGUGUCCCCCCACCUCAGACCCUGACCUGGUGCAGGUGAGGGUUCUCUGCCACAUCCUUUUAUGGCACCAGAGUGUAAUUAUUGAUGUGCUUUGCUAUCUCCCCUGGAAGAUUUGACCUUCACUCAGGAGGGUGCAUUCAUUUUCCUAUAUAUCCUAAGCAACCAGCAAGGGCCUGGUACAUAGUAGGUAUGCCAUAAAUGUUUGCUGAUUUAGCAAGUAAAUGAUCAUUAUGGCUGACAUCUAUUAAGCAGUUAGUAAUUGUCUGCCAUUCUUCUAAGCAUUUUAUAGAGAUUAACUCAUCAGCCUUCCAAUAACCCUGUAAGGCAGGUGCUAACAUAAUCCCAUACUUCAGAGGUGGAAAUAGGUGCACAGAAAGACUUACACGUUGUCCCAAAUUCACAGCACAUGAGUGGCUCAGCUGGGACCUAUACCCAGACCUGCAGUCUGGGCUCUUCACCGCCAUCCUCUAUCGCCUUCAUAAGGAAUGAAGGAGAGGAAGUGUUGGAUCUUAAGUCAUAUUUUCCCCAUUUUCCUCUUCUGUCAAUGACCCCUCUGUUAGUCUUACUCUCUCCUGUUCCAUAUAAACGCUUAUAUAUUCAAUUAACAAGUAGUUUUUGAAAACCUCCAAUGUGCCAGGCACUGUGCUGUGGGACAGAUACUACACAAUUUCAUGGGUACACAUGGACAAUCACAACAAAGGCUAUCCACACCAGGAUCCUAUAAUGGCCUAUUGAUUGCCCACUGUGUGCCAGGAGCUGUCCUAGCCAUAUCCCUAACUACCUGUGAAUGUGAAGUGGAAGUCAGGCCACAUUAAAGAGGAAACAAACAUUCAAGAUCAUUUCAAAGUAACAUAAAUUGCAUUAUAAAUGUAAUGACAAGGAAAGAACCUGUGAAGGAAAUACUCAAAAGGCCACAAGAGCAUACAGGGGAGGGCCUUGAUCUAGACAGCCAAUGGCAGGACGGUACGGAGUGCUUGAUCUGUUUCAAAGCACCCGUCUCUGCAUGGAUCGGUUCAUUGUGCAUAACCACCACAUGUAGUGGGCACUAUUGGCCUCAUCCUACACAUGAGGAAAUGAAUUAGGCACAGAAAGGCCAAACCUGUCCAAGGUCAAGCCUAGUAAGCAAAUCUAGAUUUAAGCCAAUAUAGCCUGGGAGCCUGCACUGCCCAGCACCCAGCUAGCACCUUCCUAUCAUCUAGAAAGGUGGUUUGGGGAUGAGAUAUUAGAAGCUAAGUGACCCUAAGAGGGCCACCACCUCUUUGGACUUGACAAUCUUGUUUGAGAAAUUGAGACUCCUGGACCAUCUUAGCAACUAACAUUCUUGCAUUGGGAGCAAAAGACCCUAGCAAAUAGCGUGUGUGUGUAGAUAUGGCCACAUGUUUCUUCAUUGUGGUCUGGCAAUUUAAAUUUUCUAAGUGGUAUGUGGCCCCUAAAAUGUUCAGUAAAUCCUUCCUUCUGGAAUUCAGGGUUCCAUGAAAUGUACCAACAAAUAGCAUGCAUACUUUUAUACGGAGUAUACGGUGGUCAUGCUCAGAACACCAACGUUAAGCCUCUAUGUGGAAGGUGAAUUCUGAGUGGAUCUUAAGUGAUUUCCCUGCAUCUUUGGGAUUGCCCUUUGAUUUGCGAUCCCCCUUCAGUGGCUACAUUCCAGAUACUGUCGAUCCAAACAGCCCUCUCUGGUCCUCAUGUCAUUAAGGCCAAAUAAAGCUGAACUGCACAGUUGUGAUUUCAUAAAUGUGCCCAGUAAAUCUGACCGUAAAACAUUUUAUUAGGUGGGAAAUGCCAUUCAUAAGUUAUUUAUCUGCCCAUCAAAACAUGAAUAAAACAACUUCAUUUUACAGUUUGAGUCCAUGGCUGCUGGCAUGGUCAGUGGGAUUCAGUUUUGUCUUUAUAUUUUACGUUAAUAUCCCAAAGCAAAAUAAAUCUGAUUGCUCAGUGCUUGAGUCUUAAGUCACUUAACAUUAUAAGCAUCUUUCAAUAAUGCAUUAACAUAAAAAAUAUAUUCUUAAAGACAAACAGAAGGAAUGAAUAUUUUAUGGGCUACAUCCCACAAAUGUCUUCGGGAGCCUGGAUAGCAUUGAUUGUUUCCUAAAUCCAUUAGGCUCUAUUUUGAUCUCCAAUGGCUGGAGACAGUCUGCUGUGUGGUAGGAGUUAUUUUGGCAGCACCAUAAUUUAGAGGUGGCCCACGUUUUGAUGACCUUCAGCUUCUGACGCUGAGCACUAAAGAAGCUCUAAUAAGAAGCUGUGGCUUCUGGCUCACCUCUGCCCGUGGCCAUGAUGACAUACUAGCUGGUCACAUUAGAACUGCUCUUCUCUGAUUAAAGCUGAAUUAAUCAGGUUCAUACUGGUCCAACCAGCCUCCACAAAGGUCAAGGUGAUGAUGAUGAUUAUAAUAGUAGCAGCUCUCAUUUAUGCAAUGGAUAAUGUGCAUCCUACAUCACCCCAGGGAGCACCGUUCACAUCAUGGGCUGGGAAAUCAUGAUGUGCCUUGAGGGAGAGGCACUUUUUUUCUAGUUCUAAUUCUCACAGAGGCACUAUGUAAGCUGACAGCCUCAUCUUCCAAUCACAAUCCCCCACCCCACAUUGAAGGAAUGAAUUUAGGAAAGUUAGUGACUUACCUAUAGCCACACAGUAGCCAAGGUAGAUGGUGACAGCCCAACCCAGCCCACCUGGCUUCAAAUCCAGUGCUGUUUCUUCACCCAGUGCCCAAUGACAUAAAAGCUGGCCAAGAAGAAGGACCAAUAUGACUUCAGAACACCGAAGGAAGAUACCAGCUGGAGCAGAUGGGAAAGCCAAGACAGGCUUCCUUUUCACCCAGAUGGAACCUUCAGAGCUAGCAAAGCCCCUCACAAGAGGCUUCAUCUAGAACAUGGCAGGGAGAGCACCCUACCUGUUGAUGAAGAUAACUAAUGUCUCUCUUCCUCAGGACUCUUUUGUGUCAUGGUCCAUCAAUUCUCCAAAGCUCUUAGUGAAUUAAACCCUGGCCUAUGAGGUGUGUCUCUACUAUAGGGAGGGCCUCAGUCUCUUCUCUGCCCACCUCUCCAGACACUUUUUCCUACUUACUCCAGUUCUCCCAAUACCUUGAAAGACCUGCCCACUCUGAAAUGCACCUGGCCCUUUAUAGUAUGGACUGUUACCUCUGCCUCCUUCUAUUGCUCUCACCACCUCCUCCCAGUCCUUCUCUAACCAUGAAUAUCUCCUACUAUCUUUAGGGUGAGUUGAAAUGUCACCCCCUCUAGCAGUUCUUUCCCACCAGCCCUUCAGGCUGAGCACAGGCUUUGGUGUUCCCACAGUCCUUCACCCUCCUACCAUAGAACCGCAACCCCAUCUUAUCGUGAAUGUCUGUAAUGUCUCAAACAUCCCUGAAGGGCUGUAAGUUUUGAAUGUUUCCUUAUUGUGGUAAGACCACUUAACAAACACUAAUGUGUAUAAUAGGGUACUGUUGAACUGUGGGCACAAUGCUCAGCAGAUCUCUAAAAAAGAAGGAAAUUCUGCAAUAUGGGACCACGUGGAUGAACCUUGAGGACAUGGUACCAAAUGAAAUAAGCCAGACUCAGAAGGACAAAUGCUGCAUGUUCCACCCAUCUGGGGUAUCUAAAAUAGGCAAAUCUAAACAGGCAAAGAGUGAAGAUGGACUGGGCGCUUAAGAACAUCUUGUUACAUUCUCUGGUGUAGCUGCUCAGGGUUCCUGUUGACUGAAUGAAUGAGCUCCAAGUGAAAGUGAUUUCCUGUCAGCUCCCUUGUCUCUGGACAACUAGGACUAAACAGAGGCUGCCCCUCUCAAAGCCAUUCUAUCCACAGGUAGCCCAUCUUCUGGGUGCAGUGCAGACCACAUGUCACCUUCUAAAUUUCCUCCUCCCUCAGACUAUCUCACACCAUGGGGCUCAUAAACUUCUGUCAUAUAUGCAGACUUACAUGUCCAAAUGGAUCAAGGAAUUUGUCAUGGGAGAGGAAUAGCCUUAGCAGAUCAGAGGCACAUACACACAUUCCCAGUGUGUGCUCUUUAACUUUUCUAAGAAGUCCCACAUUUCCUCACAAGAGGAAUGCAAAUAGAACCAAACAACUCCAACUGAGUAAAUUCUUAUAAUGUCUCUAGGAGUACAGAGAAAGUGUGCCUAUUUUGCAGAAGAAAAAUUGAGGCCCAGAGUUGUGAAGAAACUGAAUUGUUUUAACUUCCAACAGAACUUAUAAGUUAGAGACCAUAUUUUUGCUUUAGCUCAGAAAUGUGGGACUUCUUAGAAAAGUUAAAGAGCUUACAGUCAACUCGCAGCAGAUUUGGGAUUUGAGUCCAAACCAGGUAGGCCCACUGGGGAGAUUUUCUGGGGCCAGCACUCUGCAGCUCUGAACCUGCUAUGGUGAGACCUCGAGGUGAGCCCUUGAGCACAGCUGCAGAAGGAGUCCAAAGUUAAGAGGCCUUAAAAGAAUGAAGGAGGCAGAAGAUGGCAAGAAACCGUAUCUUUUUCUAAUAUCAGUCACACUGAGGCCCACCUUCUGCUUGUCCUCCUGCCUCACCAGUCCUUUUCUCUCAUGACCACCCCCAGGCCUCUGUCCCUGCUGAUGCUCUCAUCUUCUUGACAUUUUGGGAUGACAUGUCGGAGUGAGUGUACCAGAGAGGAGACUUUGCAUCUCUUUUCCAUUUCCUAGUGUCAUGGAUUAAAAUACAGUCUAUACUUGGACGACCUGCAAAAGUAUACAUCAGGCCUGGGCCUUUCCUCUGAACCUCAGACUCACAUAUCUAAAUGCCUACUCAGUGUCUCCAUGUGGCUGUCUAAAAGCAUCUUGCCCUUAGUGUGUCCAGACCCAGGCUCCACGGGCUCUUCCCCCCACACCUGCUGCUUCCACUAUUUUCUCUGACUUAUUAAAUACCAAUUCCAUUUCCCCACUUGUUCACUUUUAAACUUAUAGUCGUUAGCUCCUUGCUUUCUUGAUAAUCUAGGACUCAUCCAUCAAGGAACCUUGUAUAUUCUAUUUUGUGUAUUCAGUAUAUAUCCAGAAUGGAACCCCUUCUCCACGUCCAUGGCCACAGUUGUUUAAGACACCCACCUUGCUAGGGGACCUGUCCCUGCACUUCCCUGUUACUUGUCCCAUGGCUUCUGCACUUACACCAUCUUACCAUGCUCCACAGUGCAGCCCAAGUGUGUACUUUUAAUUGGAACAACAAACAGAACAGGAUGCCAUUUGUUCAUUGAUUUCUUCCUGUUAAUAUUCACUAGUGUGGGAAGACAACCAAUAGCAAAAGCAGGUGUGGAUACCAUGCACCAGGUGGCCAUAAGUACUACGGGGCGGGGAGUCAUAAAGCAACAGAAAGGGAUAACAAGUGUGUGGGUAGAAGCAGGAGUGUGAUUUUAGAUGAGUAGGGAGGUCAGGGAAGGCCUCUCUGAUAAGUGACACUUAUGUAGACCCUAAGCAAAGUGAGGACUCCCUCACUUAUGUGGCUUUUAAGGGGAGACUGGUUCUCACUGAAGAGGAAUGGUCAUGAGGUAGAGCAGGCUGGGCCUGUUUGACAGUGGGAGAGGGGAGAGUGAGGGAGAUCAGGCAAAGCGGUGACCAGAUUUGGUCAGGCCUUAUGAGGACUCAUGGAGAGAAACCUUGAGCUCAGGUUUAGGGCUCUGAUUGUUCAGGGUCCUGGCAUAAGCUCUGCUGGGUGAUUGGGUUUACUCCACAAGAGCUGGGCUGGGGUAGGAAGGAGGAAGGAUCAUAAUCAUUAGCCAUGUGGUCACAAUGUGGUGGGCAAGGUGCUAGAGUUUAUUAAAGGGAAAAGGGCAGAGUAAGGAGCUCCUAGCCCACCCAGGUAAGAGAAGAGUGGCCUGAAUUUGGCCGGAAUGCAAGCUGAUUGCACACACACCUGUUUUCUUAAUUAUUGGCUACUUCUCUCCUGAUGGCUCCACCAGGGUCUCAACAGCACCUCGCAGGGCAAGAGCAUUCCCUCCUAGAUUGAGUCAUAGGUGGAAAAUGUCAGGAUUCAUCUGCCUAAGCCCAUGAAGCAGAGUAGGGAUCAGUCUCCAGUUUUCUGCAGAUGCUUCCAUAGAUCCAACUUCUGCAGCUCCAAGCCCAGGUUGAGAGCAGUGAGACAUUUUUAUGUUGUAGACUGCAUUGCAAAUCAGAUUAUUUUUAAAAAAUUAAUGGCAUCUGUCAUUUAAGCAAAUUUUAAAUGCGGCUCUGUCUCUGCUCUUGGAAAACAUGAACUCUUAAUUUUUAUGCUAAAUCAAGUGAUCACAACCCAAGAGCUCAGCAAUUUUGCACUUUAAACAUUUACUCCGUGAUUUAUUUCCUUCCAAUGAAUUCAUGAUUAAAUUUUAAACCCCCACUCCUAUUCAGCAGGGAAUCAUGGAACAGAGGGUGAAAUGGCUUCUUUUCUCUCUGUACGUUUUAAUAUGGAAUUCUGUCUGUCUGGUCUUCAAAGCAGCAUGGCUGAGCCUCUGUUUCCUGACCUAGAGUUCUAGGUGCUCAAAGAAUGUGGACCAAGGAGAGAGGCAAAGGGUAGCCAACUUGUCCUUUGUAAAUAUUUUGUCCUUUUUCUCCAGAAGAUAGAAGUAGCAUUAACUGUCCCAGAAAAGCCUAGGAUGCUGCUGGACACUCUAGAUAGAGAAGAGAAAUAAAUACUCUCUGACUAAUGCACCGAAAGCUGCUGGUUUUAGACCACCAGGUUCCCCAAACAAACAGAGAAGCAGAUGUUUGGGAGGUGCCUGCCAGGAUAUUGAUUGUUUUCUACCCAAAUUCUGACAUUGGUCUCACUUCCUCCCCUACCUCUUCCCCACCUGGACCUCCCACUGCCCCCUCCUUGACAAAGGAUCCCCUCCCUUCUGUAGUGGCUGCUGCUUUUCUCCAUGGAGAUGGUUUGGCUGCCAGGGCUGUAUUACUCCCUUUACAAGGAGUGACGUGAAGACUGUCAGAAGNCCUCUGUGUCCCCUGUCUACUCCACUUAACCUGCAUAGAGCAAGCUCUUCAGUGAGGAUUUGCUGAGCUGUAUCAAAUUGCAGAAGACCUGAAAUGAGGGGUAAAUCCAACCUCAGAGACAUGCAAGAGAGAAGGAAGCCACUGUAUUACUGCCAGGGACAUUACCAUUCUGGUAAUGUCAGAGCUGAAAUAACAGGCUGCUGACUGUCUCUCCAGGUUGGAAUCUGACUUUUGAAGGUGGCAGGGGGUGCAGCAUGGGGAGAGGGAGUUCUGAUUUUUUUUAUCUUGCAAAAUUCAUCACAGACACUCAGCCUAAGACACAGGGGAAAACAGAACUGUGUUUUGACUUCUAAUUUAUCUUCUUAAUAUCCACUUUCUCCUGCCCUGGAACACAGCCAACAAGUCUCAAAGAUCACAUUUCACCAGCGACCUUGAAAGUGUGAUUCAACAUCUCUUUUUGCAGUAAUAAGAUCUUUUAACCAAAAGUGACCAUUUUAUGAGACUGAUACAUUACAAAAGAGCCAAUAGGCAAACUGAAGCCCUGGAUUAUUAAAGCCCUGGGAAAAACCAAUGUGCUCUGAAGCCAGCAACUUAAGCAACAGUGACCCAGAGUUCAGGAAAGGUGUUUGCCAGGGACUGAGGCUGCAUCCAAGUGCUGUUCACCCACCAACUAGGAGCAUGCCUCAGGGGAAAGGGGACCCAAAUCCUCAGAGGGGGGGAUUUCACAUAACUCUGACUAGCAGGGUACCCCUUAAUUCCACACUGUAGAACUGGCAGAAUUCAAGGUCUGGGUAAGAAUUCAAGAUAUGGGUAAAAAUUGAGAAUUAGAAGCCAAAAAUGUAAGUCAGGGAGGACACCCUGAAGGAUGGAAGAUGGAGACAGGGAUUAGAAAGCUCAGGGAUAAGACAGAAGAGGGGAGGAUGGCAUGCAGAGAGAGCUCAGUGGAAGGUGUUAAGGAGGGCUGACAGGCCUCAUGGGUGCUCCUUGUGGAAGAAGCAUGGUGCCUGAGAAAGCCAGCCAUGUUUGAAGGGACAGGGUCAGGUUGACAGAAGGGGAAGCCAGCAGUGCCAUCUCCUAGGCUGGCUUCUCCCAGAGCAGCCCUCUAGGCAUCUUAGAGCUCCCGAGCACCAGGGAUACUGUAGGCUUCUCCUGCACAACCCCAGCAGGACUUUGCCAAGGAGGUGGGGACAUGCACACACCCCUUCGUAGUUACCAGCUCUAAACCCAUUAUUAUGGUUUGAUAUGAGAUCUCUCCCCAAAUCUCCUUUGUUAAUGUAAGAAUGUUGAGAGGUAAAAUGACUAGAUGAUGAGUGCUGUAACCUAACCAGUGGAUUAACCCAUUUGAUGGAUCACUAGUUUGAAAGGGCUACGGUACUGGGUGGUAACUGCAGGCAGGUGGGGCGUGGCUGGAGGAGGUGAGGCAUUGGGGAUUAUAUCCACCUGGCUCCUCCUGGUUCUGUUUCUCUUGGCUACCUUGUGUCCAAGUGAGCAGCUUUCCUCCACCACACCCUUCCACCACAAUGUAAUGCCUCACCUUAUCCCCAGAGCAUGCAGUCAGCCAGCCAUGGACUGAACCUCUGGAACUGUGAGCCAAAAUAAAUCUUUCCUCCUCUAAGUUGUUCUUGUCAGGUAUUUUGGCUACAGUGAUGAAAAUAAAUAAACCUAUAAUUAAAAAAUAAUAAACUAAUAAACCCAUUUCAGAGGCACUGAUGUUAACCUUUCUCCCCUUCUUUCUUCCUUUUUCAUAUCCCAUUGCAGGCCAGGUGGAGAAUCGGAGCUGCAUGGGACCAGGCUUAACAACUAAACUAUAUAGUUUAGUCCUCCCAUUUUACAGAUGAGAAAACUAAGGCCCAGAGUGGAGAUGUACCUGGUGCAGUCAUAUGGCAAAAGAGCAGCAAGGUUCUGGCUAGACAUCAAGUCUCUUGACCUGAUCUUUCCUCUGGGACACAUAGUUCAGAGGCAGUUUUAAUUCAAGUUGCAAUUUUAUCUUAUUUUUUAUUAUAUAAUCAAAACUUGCUUAUUAUAAAAAAUUCAAGUAUAUAUACAAAAAUAAAAAAAUGUGGAGAUGAUGUGCUCCCUCCCCCCAUUCACCCACAAACACAUACACAUCAGAGGUAAGCACUCCAACAGUUUAGCAUGUGGGGGUCAGGAGUUUGCCGUCCCAUUUCAGGAGGCAGGUAAGAGACAGUACUCCCAACACACACACACACACACACACACACACACACUCCCCCUCUCUACAAUACCCCAGGAAGUGGUCACUCAGUCUUGAUGUGCACCUCUAGGAAGACAGAGAUCCCAACAAGUAAUGGAGUCCCCAGGCCACCCACUAACCGCACAUGAGUCAGAGGAUCCUCCCUGUCAAAGACAACCAGGAACACUUGUACAUUGCUGGUGGGACUGCAAAUUGGUGCAGCCAAUUUGGAAAGCAGUAUGGAGAUUUCUUGGAAAGCUGGGAAUGGAGCCACCA
rnacentral:lncRNA from 1 species